ACAGAGGCAGAAACAACCAGGUCUGGACGUGAGAUAAAGAGGUAACAAGAUUAGUCGCGUCCUGUUUCUGUGCAUGGCCUUGUUUUCUGUACUAAAUAUGGCCAAUUGAGGACAGCCGUUUGAUUAUAUGCCCAUAUUUGUUUUUUUCCGCUUCUUGUGUUUGUCACAGGGAACAUGUUGACAUCUUGACUCUGGAAUGUAACAUUGCACUUUCCCACCCUUCAAAAUGUAGAUCAGGACUUUGUGUUGUUUCUUAAAGACUCGUUUGAAUUGAAGCCGGCAAGGAGAAAUUGUGUCGGAUUGUCGGAUGGUUGGUCGACAAGCGCUAAUCAGACCAAAUUCUUAAUGAUGGAACAAUCGCUGAUGUCAAUUUUAUGGAGGAAAACACACACACCAGCACACUACUUAAUUAAGAGGGGGUUGCCUCGUAAAAAUAUUUUGUGUCAUAGCAUUGACAGCUUCGCCACAGCGCAGUAAACCACAGGAGGUUUACUAGCAGCAAAUAUGGGGCGGGGUAGUGACUUUCAUGUUGUCAUUUCAUCAUGUGUGAUACCGGCCAUAAAUGCUGUAUCCCUGUAUAAACACCCUCAGCUCUAAAUUUACUCGCAGACACCCAGUGCACACAAAGUUGUUGACGGCCUGUUUGGAUGCUAAAUAAAGACGUAACCCGGUCAAAAAUGUAAGCUUGCUCAUCCUCUCACGAGAUAGACGCACACUCACUGCAAGGUUGCACUGUGGCUGAUUCUGUGUCAGAGCUGUCAAAAUAAAUCAUGGAAGUGAUAACAAAUUGAUGAUCAAAUUAGUUACCUCAUAUUUUAAGAAUUGAGUGAUUGAAAGCAGGCUGAAUUAUCUUUUGUGUUUAGUUGAAAUAAUUUGCAAAUAUCUGAUUUUACUUUGGAGAACAAUGACUAUAAAGCCUUAUGUGAUAUUGCUUAGUUGUUGUUCAGUUGUUAUUAUAAUGACGAAUUAAUAGCAAAUAAACAAUUCAUGAUUUUGAUUCAUUGAUGAAUCUAUCAAUCAAAUAAUUGUUAGUUGCAGCAGCCCUAUCUCCUCUCUGUUGUGCAGCUACGAAUACUGAAGGGCAAAGAAUUGUAAAAUCGUCAUUGGGCUUGUUUUUCACAUUUGCUCAAAGGAUUUUAAAAAAUCAUUAACCACAUUUUUAAAUGUGUCGUCUGAUUACGCAAUCGGUUAUCUGAAUGUUUUGUGCCCAACCGCAAAAUCCUCACUAAAUCCAUACUGCUCGGGCCCUACAUUUUCCUACGUUUCUGAUGCUCUAAGGCUCUUGGCAGAGAACAUGAUGCGCACGCCAACUCUCCCCGGGGAGAUACUGUACUAAGUGAUACUACAGUACUGCCGUGUUUUGUAAGCCGUCUGGCAGUACUGAGCGCCUUUGCUGUUGUUGGGGAGAAGACAGGCUCUAUAUUUAACAACCACACCUCUGCUCAUGUUGCCAGCCUUGCAGAAAUCCCUGGCACCUGCCACAUUGAUGGAUCAUUGUAUGGUACCAUGAAGUCCGACGGGUAAAAAUGAGCAGGAUCUCUGCCCUGGCAUGUUCAAGGUACAGUGACCUACUUUGUAGCAUUUGCAAACAGAUACGACAAGAUGUGAACUUUGUGAAGACACGAAGCUUAAAGCCAGGAAAACUGUUCGGCAGGAACAAGAGAGGCUCGGCGAAGGGUUGUAACGCCACAAUUGUUGAUGCUGUUUUCUACUGCAUCACGGCUUCCAAAAGGUGCUUCUGUGGUCACGGCGCCAAGACAAAAGACAAAGGGAGCCGAGGGUCGGGUUCAUCCGACAGGGCAAUUGAGAAACAAAAGCGGCUGCGCCGCUAUUACGACCACACCGUUAUUUCUUGGAACCACAUUGAGCAGCUGUGACAUGUUUGUUUAGCCACUACUGUGGGACGAGUACGAAGCUCACCCAACAAUUUCAAUCUGAUGACGCCCAAUCAGGGUUGAGGGGCAAGAAUUGACACACAUGCACGGAGAAGCAGACUUAAAAAAAAACAUGUCAAGACCUGCCAAGCGGCCCUGAGACGCGCAUCAUACGAGCGAAGAGGCACAUGAUGUUCUUGGGACGAAGACAGAAGGAUCAACCCCGUGCACCACGUCCACUACCAAAAUUGGAAAUUCCAAUCUGCUUUGAUGGCAGCCGUUACGUUUUAUAAUCAUGUAUAAAAAAAACAUUCAAUCUUAUUAUUAACAACCUUGCCCUCGCUCUACACAGUCAGCCAUCUGUUACUGGAGGCCAUGAGUUUCCCUGUCAAUGAAUAAACAGUUUUACAG